AGUGAACGCUGGCGGUAGGCCUAACACAUGCAAGUCGAACGGCAGCACAGUAAGAGCUUGCUCUUACGGGUGGCGAGUGGCGGACGGGUGAGGAAUACAUCGGAAUCUACUUUUUCGUGGGGGAUAACGUAGGGAAACUUACGCUAAUACCGCAUACGAACUACGGGUGAAAGCAGGGGAUCUUCGGACCUUGCGCGAUUGAAUGAGCCGAUGUCGGAUUAGCUAGUUGGCGGGGUAAAGGCCCACCAAGGCGACGAUCCGUAGCUGGUCUGAGAGGAUGAUCAGCUACACUGGAACUGAGACACGGUCCAGACUCCUACGGGAGGCAGCAGUGGGGAAUAUUGGACAAUGGGCGCAAGCCUGAUCCAGCCAUACCGCGUGGGUGAAGAAGGCCUUCGGGUUGUAAAGCCCUUUUGUUGGGAAAGAAAAGCAGCAGGUUAAUACCCCGCUGUUCUGACGGUACCCAAAGAAUAAGCACCGGCUAACUUCGUG
rnacentral:rRNA from 1 species